rnacentral:lncRNA from 1 species
CUGGAGGCUUGACAAUAAGCAGCCAUUCCCAAUCUAUUUUGCAACUUACGACUCAGCUCCAAAAAGCCCCCUUCAGAAGUAAUUAGUUUGCUUUACAUCCAGCCUUUAUAUUCUCAAGCUAAUAAAUGGCCAGUGCAGCUCCAAAAGGAGUUUGUUUCUCUGGCUGCCUACGGGGACUGGGGGAGUUGCUGUCUCCGGGCAGCACAACUCCAUCGGCAGCUGAAUGUCUUGGCAGGGACCAGGGCUCUCUACAAAAGGUGGCAAGCCACAAAAUCUAAAGUCUUUAUACCCUGUAUAAAAGUCAGCAUUCACAUGGUCUGGCAGAAACCUUCGGGUCUCCAAGUUUCAGUUUCCCCGUCUGCGGGAAGGGCUUCUCCAAAAGAUUUGUUGAUUCAGCAAACAUUUGCAUCUCAUGCCACAGCUUUCCUGCAUGACCUUGACAGAGCUUCUGGCCUCUCUGUGACUCACUUCCCCACUUCUAAAAUAGAGGAAAUUAGAGCAUUACAGUCAGGUGUCUGUCUUUUGCCUUCCCAAGGAGGCUUGCCAGGAGAAGUGCCACUUACGGUGCCACUCAUGGUGCCACUCAGCUGGUUUGGGGCACACUAGGAUGCCAAGGCCUGGGCUGUUGGUGGCAAUGAGUCCACGGCCACGUGCCCAGCAGAGAUGGAGCAGAGAUCAACAAUUCAGAACGGGGGCUCUCAGUCACCCUUGCUGAUGACUGGCCUUGCAACAGCCGCUGUGGCUCCUUCUCCCAGAAAUCAUUCCCUCCCUUCUUCUGUCCUGCCCCUACUGCAAGGACAGCUCAUGAAGCAGAAUCUGAACUGGCCUCAAUGGAUCGAGGAGGACAAGCAACAUUUUAAAUCCUCUGCAAUACCCCAGCUCAGACAUCAGCAAGGCGCCUACACGUCCCUGGCUGAAGGCUGCCUGUCACGCACCUUCCCACACCUCGGCGCGUGUCUGGACUGCGGGUUAAGUACAGAAGAGGAGCUCCGUGAUCCUGUCACCUUCCCGCAGCUGCAGUGGGCUCUCGAACUGAGCAAACCUCAACUCCAAAACCUCCCCUGCUCCUGCUCCUUUGCUCCCACCCAAAGGCCUGUAGAGAAGAAGAAUAAUAACUGAUCUCUGUAUCUCCAUGUGGCUGAGCUAAUUAAGAGAUGCAUUAACCACGGGCCUAACUAGUGAAGCCUCAGAGCAUCUCUUGUGCUGCCGGUACAUCGUAUAAUCUCCUCACAUCCACAGUGGGCCUCAGUCAUUCAUGUUCUGGCAUCUGUGCAGUUUCUUGCUUCACAAAGAGUGUCACCAGGGAAGAAAGUGUUACUCAACACAAGUAAAUGUGACAGCAUCUGAGUCUAUAGUUAAGUCUAAACUACUCUGAAGUGAGAACUGAAGAAGCCUAACCCUGCCAGAUGAGUCACUGGCAGAAUCAGGACAAGAACAAGAAUCCCUCAUUACCAGCUCUGCGAUAUAAACACGUGCCUUCCCUCUCUGUUUCCCCAACCUUUCAUUAACACAGCGGUAGCACUUAGAGAUUUGGUCUAUUUUUCUCAGGAUCAACUUUCACCCAUUUUCGAGUCAGGAAGGAAUUCUUCCUCUCCUCUCCUUGCUCUUCAUUAACUUUCCCUGCUCCUGUAAAGCACCAGCAGCGUAAGGCUCCUCCUGGCUGCCAACUGGCCAGUGUGAACAUGAAGCAGAGAUUGCUGGCACGGGCAGGAUGUUUCAUACUUGCUGGGCUGCCCCUAGCCUCUCACCUGGGUAGGCAUCCCCCUACAGCUCUUCCCGUUGCUUUUCAUUCUUUGUGGGAUGCUGCAGCCCAAUGCGAACUUAUUAAAAUGCUGUGAGUCAGGCCUCCUCGAAAAGUCAUGCAUGACUUAAAAUCACAAGGAUGAUCAAAAACAAUAAAUUGCAUAUUUUCUACUUGCCUUUGGGUUUU